rnacentral:lncRNA from 1 species
AUGGAAUCCCAAACAAAUGCCGGAAAAAGGCUGCAUUUGGCGACAAUCUGCCUAACGGCUCCAGGUUCCCGACGUCGCGUGCGGAAACGCCCUCUGAAGAGCGUGACAGCCAGAGCAGAACCGCCCCCGCGCCCGCAGCCCCGGCUGAAGGACUCGCGGCCGGAAGUGGCCCGUGGCCACGCCCCUCCCUGCGUCGUGGGCGGGGCGCCUCCUGGGCUGUUCCCCCAGCGGGUUCCAGUCGCGCAACGACCGCGUGGUAGAAUAUCCGGCUCCGUGCCUUUUGCUUCGGUGUUUCCUAGGCAUCGUCGUGCAGAGAGUGUCGAGCCCGCCCAAAAUGGUCGUUUCCCCUACAGUUUCCUGUACCUUUUGAGAUGUCCGUUGUUCUGUCUGGUCCUGCCAUUGAUCCAUGCCAUUUGCUACUGAGAUGUCUUCAUUCCUGUCUGCCUGGUCCCAUCAGGACAAAAGAUGAAUCAUAAAAAAAGAAAAAAAAAAAGAAGUAGAAAUAAAAGGAGGAAACAACCACA